rnacentral:lncRNA from 1 species
AGCUAUAGAAACUAGAACAAUGUAUACACGAACAAUAUUUUACUCCUAUCAUAAUGAGUAACACAACAAUAAAUAUGUUCAAAAUCACCUCAAAUUUGAAUAAAUCCAAUCCCAAAAACUAGUUAAAAAUUUAUGCAUGGGGAACAAGCAGUUGUGCCAAAUGUUUAGAGACCCCUACUGAAGAAACUAACUAACAUGUGCAAUAUAAAUCUGUAUUUCUAGACCAUUAUUACUUGUUGAAAAACAAAAUCUCAAGAUUUUUUUCAUAAAAGUUACACAACUGCUGGCAACAAUGACGUUUAGAGAGUCUGGUAUUUUUCCUUAUAAACGUAAGACGAAAAACGACAUAUCCAUUAACCCCGAAUUAUUUUAUCUCCAGAGAGUAGAAGGCCUGCCGUAUCUAUCAUAUUGAAUGCAUAUUACAAACAUGGAAUGAGAAAUUAUUGGGUUUUUAGGCUAACUUAGUCAACCCUGUCAAAGCCAUGAUUUCAGUAGUGUUUUUGACGAAAACAUUUACUUAGUACUAAUCAAACUUCUAAUCUUCAUGGUAGUAUCCAUAUUGUCACAAAAGAUGCUCAAACCCGGUGAGGGGCAAAAUUAUACUUUGGUUAAGUUUCUCGAUUUAGUUCAAUUUCAGCACAUAUAAAUGCUGGGAAAUUCCGUCACCACGUUUGGGUUUACCGUGAAAUUGUGGCAAAAAUAAUCUUUUCGCUUUUGCUCAAAAGGCGAGUAUUAUGUUCUGAAUUAUGACGAUCAAAACCUUAUCUAACGGAUUUUAGAUAAGGUUGAUGUUUUUUUAAAAACGUUGUAUUUCGUAUCUAAUAUAAUACCUCAGGCUUCUGUCGACACAACCAUAUGAGUAGGCAUAAAAUUUGACCCAAAGGUCAUUUUGAAUUACGAUUAAUAUUUUGACUUUAAAUAUGCUUUAAAUAUUCAAAUAUUCUUUUUGAAUUGUCAUGUAAUUGAGUAUUCUGAGAAAAAUUAUUUUAUGAAAUAAAAUUUGAGCCAGAAUGAGUUUCAAUUUAUAUCGAUUGUUAUUAAACUUUUAAUCGAACUUUAAAUUGUCUUGGAAUUGAGUAUAUACAAAGAUAAAUCAUUUUAUGAAAUGAAGUUUAGGGCUAACAUACUCUUCGGACAUCAUUGUUGCCAAACCCUUCAGAUGUUAUUUUACAUCAGUAGGAUAGUAUUUUUCAAAAAGUAACAAUUGACCAAAAAUACAGAUCUUAAUUGCAAAUUUUCCAACCCAAUCUUCCACAGUACUAUUCAGCCCCGACCACGGACACUGCUUUUUUAUUAUUUUCCCUUAAGUUAAAGGCCUGCGAAAAAAACUUCGUGCGCACACCCUAUUUAUACGUAUCAGUUAUUCCUUUACAAUUGCUACACAUCGUAUGGGUACCGAUUGUACGCAACCCUAGCAUAGCACAUAAUGUACGUUCAAUUUUGAACGAAAAUGCUGAAUGCAAACUUCCGACGUCGCUAUUAUGACCGUACGUCGCUGAGCUUGCUCUACAGAGUGUUUUCAUGGCGACCAUGUUCAGGAACAAAUCUGGAUCGAAAUUAAUACAUAUUUCUUUUUUUAAAAAGCGAGUUUGCUCCUUAACAAACCAACAUAAAAACACUCUAACCCUUAAUGCGCUUGUAAAUUGUCGUUACAACUUGAAUCUAAAGGCAUUUGCCAGAAAUGCACAAUUCAAAUUGCAAAAUUGUCAAUUUUUUGUUUUCGCAAUUUUGUGAAUUACUACCAUUUGCAAGCAACCGCAAAAUCCAAACUUUUUUUCAUGUUUGUUUACGUUUCAAACGUACACGAUGGGCGGGUCAAACGUGCAUGUUGAAACGUAAUAAUCAAUUAGUUUGAACCGCGAAAUAGCGACGUUUGACAAAUCUCGCCGAUACGUUUGAACAACGCGAAAGCACGUUCAAGACUAGAUAUCCUGCGUUUCACAACUCAUAAUUUCCUGAUA